ensembl:lincRNA
AUGAUCAGAGCCACACAUGGCGGGUCAACAAAGAGAGUUGUUUUGAGACUUGCCAGGAAACCUAAAUUGGCCAAACUGGAAUACAUGAAGCAAAACUCGUUUGUUAUGAACCAAAUGCUUCCGUUCUCCUCCAACUUGGGCGGAGCUCCCCGGGAGCAGCUCCUCCCUCUCCCCCAGACAUUCCCAAGGCUUUUGUCACUGAACGCCCCCCUCCCCCGCAGGGCAGGCGGUGUUUACUCCUCCUGGGGGGCCGGCCCCUCCUCGCCCUCCAGAGGCGCCCGUGGCCAUCUCAUCCCUUCUCCUCCAGGUGACAGGGGGAACAGGAGCAGCCGGCCCGACCUAGCGCUCGCCAAACGCCAGGCCGUCUUCCGAGGGCUUUGCAGCUGCCGACUCACUUCCUCGUCAACCUCCCAGCUGCGGCUGUUACUCUACGCAUUUUACAGAUGAAAAACUCCAGGCAAAGCCAGCUGAAGUAGCUUUCCCGACAGCACACAGGCAGAAAGAGGCAGCGGGGAGACCCGAGCUCGGGCGGGCUGCGGCCAGAGCCCCGGCUCUUAACUAGGGAGCAUCUAACGGAACCGUGGCAGGACAGGACCUUCAAAACCCUCAAGUACGCGGGAAACGUAGAUUGCAGUGUAUGCUCUCGCUGUGGCUUGAGUGGAUCCCCAGAAGUCUAAGCUCAUUCCUUCCUGGGGCAGUCUUGGGAGAGGGGGCCGAGGGGAGGGAGUUUGGGUGGUGGGGACAGAGCCCUUGUGUCCUUUUCUUGUGAGUUCUCCCUCUUCCCUUCCAGUUUCUCCAACGAAGUGGAAAAAGCAAGAAGCCCUCCCCAGAAGCCAGGCAGAUGUCGGUCCCAUGCUCUUAGAUCCCUAGCAUCCAGAGCCACCAGUCAGAAUAAACCUUUUUUCUUUAUAAAUUAUCUAGUCUCAGGGAUUCUGUUAUAGUAACAGCAAAUAGACUCUAGGAGUUUUACAGAUACUGGGUCUAGUGUUACAUUUUUAAAUGACUACAAUUUUUUAAAGAGUUGUUUAACUCUUUUCCUGUGGAAGAUCUCUCCCCUUGGGUAUCUCAGAGAUAUCAGUGUUUGUCAGAAUGAAAGCUUAGACUAUUUUUUGUAUCGUGCCCGCCAAUCUGCUCAUUCUCUUUUGAUCCACGCUGCAGCAAAUGCAGCAAAUGGCUGUCUACCUCCUGUCCUCCCAGAUACCCUCCCCCAGCGCCAUGGCAACGGGGUCUCCUGAAGCCAGGUGGGAUGGAGGUGGGGAAUGGGAGCGAAGCAAGCACAGAGGACUUUCUGCUUUCUGAUGGGGAAUUAGCUCCCAAGGUGGGGCAGACUGUGGGAGGAACAGGUCUGGACCUGUUAGAUGUCAGAUGUCUGGGAUUUUAAAAGGGCGACACUGCACUGUGGCUCAGCCCUCUGAUGAUACGAUCAAGUCCAAAGCAAACAAGAGAGACCGUUCACUAAAACUGCUUUAGCAUUACUCCGGCUAUAUUUACUUUUUUUUUUUUUUUUUGUCCUUUUGAGGCAGGGUCUCGCUAUGCAGUUCAGGCUGGCCUUGAGCUCACUUUGUAGCCCAGGCUAAUCUCAAACUUGCAAUGAUCCUCCUGCUUCAGCCUCCUGAGUGCUGGGAUUACAGGCAUUCACCACCAUGGCUGGCUAUUUUAAACAAUUUUAUAAAGCUUGAGUUCCUUAUUUAUUGAACUGUUAAGGACCUAAAGAAUCGUGUAUAAUUUUGAGUUGGACUCUUAUUUCACUUCAUGGGUGGCAGUAUGUGCUUUGGUGGUCUUUGGUGGUUUGGGUGUCCCUGUCAAGGUGAUGGGAGAAGCCCUCAUGAAUGUCAAAAGUCUUCUCUAGCUGUAACAGACAAUGUAUCAACUCAUUUGUCAUGAUGCUUCAUGUGCAGGGGCUGGUUGGUGUGUAGUACAUAGGUAGAUGAUGGUAAUCUCUUAUCUAGCAUCUACUAUGUGCUGGGCAUUCGGUUACACUUUGUAUAAACAUAGCUCCCCUCCUCCCACAUUCUGUGUGCCAUGCAUCUGACGUGUGAGGAAGGCAAGGUGCAGAGAAGCUCAAUAGCUGGCGUUGGAUUGCGGAACCAGCAAGGUGUGGGCUCUGGCUUUGGGCCCAGGUCUGGGCUGAGUAGGAGGCUUGGCUUCCGGGGGAGUCUGGGUUGUUUCAUCCAUGCAGGGAAGGGGGUCUCUGGGAGGUGUUUAGGCCCUAAGGCCUGUGGCCUCAUGAAUGCAUUGAUGCCACUGUUACAAGGGCUGAUGGGAGCAGCUUGUCCCUCUCCUGCUGUUCUACUGUGUGAAGACUCAGCAUGGAAAAGCCCUCAUCGGAUGCUGGCACCUUGAUCCUGGACUCCCCAGGGACUGGAGCUGAAUACAUUUCUGUUCUUUAUAAGCUACCCACCCUCAGGCACUCUGUUACAGCAGCACAAAGCAGACUAAGACAUCCUGGCCCUUCUGUUCUAUAUGUUAGAAGAGCCCACGCUAUUUCCAGGGUGCACGAGGAGUACAUGCCUAUCAGGGAGUGGGGAUCCUUGGUGACACGUAUUCAAAUAAACACCAGUGGUAACAACAAUAAGACUAGCUGCGAGGAGUGAACGCUUGCUCUGACUUAGGCGUGGCACGAGGCCCCCGAGGAACCUUCCACGACUCCUCUGCUCACUCAGGUUUGCCGGGCGGCCAGCACUGCAGGUACUGGGGACAGAGUGACAAACGAAGUGCACUUCUUGUUCUGGAGGUGCUCGUGUCUGGAGGUGUGGUUUGUUCUGAUUUUACAAACGAGAAGAAAGGUCAUAAGCUGGCCAGUGGGACUUCAAGUCAAUUUUACAAAGACAGCACACUUCUCGAGUCUGCAAGACCGAGGACAUCUCUAGGCACCAAGGGGUCAUGCUUCAACCCCUCAACCAAGGACCACAGGGAGGAGGAAGAAGUCAUACAGAAUAUGCACAGCAUAAUUCCAGUGAUACAGGUUUUGGACAUAGGUGCUGGCAUCAUGGGCCAUGUAUAGUAGAAAUGACAAAGGGAACAAAAAAAGCGAGAGCUGGAUAUGGGGGCACAGGGAUGUAACCCCAAAUACUUGGGAAGCUGAGGCAGGCGGAUUGCAAGUUUGAGGCCAGCUUGGGCAACUGAGUGAGAUCUUAUCUCAGAAUAAAAAAUGGAUUGGAGAUGUAGUUCAGUACAAAAGCCUUGAGUUCGCCGGGCGUGGUGGCGCACGCCUGUCAUCCCAGCGCUCAGGAGGCUGAGGCAGGAGGAUCAUUGCGAGUUCAAGACCAGCCUGGGCUACAAAGUGAGUUCAAGGCCAGCCUGAGCUGCAUAGCGAAACCCUGUCUCAAAAAGACAAAAAAAAAGCCCUGAGUUCAGUUCCCAGUAUAACAAAUAAACAAAUAAGACUGGGAUGUAACUCAGUGUAAAGGACCUAGGUUCAAUCUCUAGUAGCACAUACACACACACACACACACACACACACUCACACGGAAGAGAGAAGGGCAGGAAGGGAAGAGAAGGGAAGGGGGAAAAAGCAAGGAAGGGGCUUCCCGCAGGCAACACGGCAAUCAUUUUGGAGGAAGGGGAUGUGAGGGGGCCGCGUCCAGGGUUUCCCAGGGAGCUGGGGAGCUAGCACUAUCCUACACUUAGUGGUGGGCAUGUGGUGUUCAGUCCACAGCCACACGUUAAGCUGCACCUGUGUGUCUUACUUCCAUCUCUGUGUGCUGUGUCUCACCAUAAAUAAAGAGCAACACGAAUGCUCGUGCUGGGUGGGAAGCUAUUUGCUUGUCUCAGGUGUGGCACCUGAGACAGCCGGCGAAGAGCUCCCUUCCCUAAGAUGCGGGGAUGUAAAGUCUCCUGAGCCCACGCGUCUGCCACGUGGGUGCGUUCACAGCCUGGCUCACCCCACCCUUUAUCUGUGCUGCACCCGA